AGGGGCCCCUCAUCAUCUUUCUUGCACUAUUUAUAUCACUGAUAAAAUAUAUACAUACAUAUUUCUUCAAGUUGCUAACUAUUGAUGGCACCUGCAAGAACCUACUUAACCAUUCUUCUGUUAUCUCUCACAGUAUCACAUUCAAUAUCAGGUUAUGAUGAUGAAGGGGUGUCAAGUGUUGAACAAAACAAGAAAGUUUUGGGAUAAGACCACCAAGGUGUGUGAACAAGUGUGUGAGUUGUAGGCCUUGUGAGGCUACUUUGGUAAUUCCAUCACACCAGAAAUUGAUUGAUUACAGGGUUCAAUCUCAUUGGGAAGAUAAUUACUAUCUUCUUUCAUGGAAAUGUAAAUGUGGUGAUAAACUCUAUCAACCUUGAUUAUUAGUUAAGAUGUUGUAUCAAGUACUAUGUUACACAAUACAAUAACCGUUUAUUAUGUUAUAUACUUUGACAUUGGUUAAUUUGUGUGUUAUGUUUCA